CACUCACGCGCUACACCAACUGUCAUUACACCCAUCAAGAUCAUUUCCGCCAAAACGUUCGACUCAUGCAGACGAAGUGCCGCUAAUUUGUCGUGAAUAAAACCAGUGCUAGAUUGUUCGGUGAUCAAAAUUCCUGCAAAGUGAUUCCAACAAUCGCACGACUGGUGUUUUAAGGGGACAAAGCGGAGACAGCCUAUCUCCAAUGAUUCUAAGUCAAGGCUGAAGUACCACACACCGAGCGACUUUGACCACAAAACCCAUUAAGCCGACAGAGCGGUAACCUCUGCUAAAAGAAGGCGAAUUCUGGAAUCCCAGUGUAGUACACCUACAACAGCAUCCGGAAGCCUGAAAAGGCAGUUCAGUCGAACAUUAAAAUCAAACAGCACCUUGGCCAAAACACGGGUUCCAAAUUGAACAAACAUCGCCUGGUGGCGAUAAGCAAAAAACAUCGCAUCAAGCUCGUUAGAGAGAAGAUCCAUC